rnacentral:misc_RNA from 1 species
GAUGAAGAACGUAGCGAAAUGCGAUAAGUAAUGUGAAUUGCAGAAUUCAGUGAAUCAUCGAAUCUUUGAACGCACAUUGCGCCCCCUGGUAUUCCGGGGGGCAUGCCUGUUCGAGCGUCAUUUCACCACUCAAGCCUCGCUUGGUAUUGGGCAACGCGGUCCGCCGCGUGCCUCAAAUCGACCGGCUGGGUCUUCUGUCCCCUAAGCGUUGUGGAAACUAUUCGCUAAAGGGUGUUCGGGAGGCUACGCCGUAAAACAACCCCAUUUCUAAGGUUGACCUCGGAUCAGGUAGGGAUACCCGCUGAACUUAAGCAUAUCAUAAGCGGGGA